CAUACUCCAACACGGAACAAAAAUCAAUCAACCGAUAUUGAGGUUGUAUGUACCUAUUGGAGUUACAUGUGAAUAAUUUUCAAGCAAGUUCUGAUAUUUCUGAUUCAGUUGUUUGUCGUUGUCGUGUCUAAACGUGUUUUAAAGUUAUAAUAUGGCCCAGUGUGUCUAUUUGUCUGUUACUUCACGCUUUAACGCUGAACCGAUUUAGAUGACAUUUGGUAUGGAGAUAGUUUGAGUCCCGGGGAAGGAAAUAGGAUAGUUUUUAUUCCAGAAAUCGUGAUUUAAGGGGGUGGAAGUUUGUAUGAGAAAUGACUUAUUCCACGUAGAUUAAGUCGUGGGCAAAAGCUAGUAGGUAUUAUAAUAUGCCUCCUACUAGUCCUACUGGGUAGUAAGUAAUAUUCCCAGCACCUUGUCAAAUCUACCGCAUCGGCACCGUUGCCGUUGCAGAGGUAGGGUAGUUUUCGUCCACAUGUGUCAGUUUUCCUUAUUUAUAUUCACGUACUUUCCAAAAGCUUAAAAGAAAGAAAGGGUUAAGUUUUGUUUGUAUUUACAGAAAAUAAGAUCACCCUCAAAAUAUUCAACAUCAUAUUGGAUCAAGGAAUGAUACAAGAACUAAUUAAACCAAUUGGAGACAGAGCCACAUUCAUAAGCAACUUAAAUCUUUGGAAACAAAUAUCAAAUGAUGAUGAUGAUGAUUUCUCUCUUAGUCUCAGUCAGGGGAGCAAAUCGGACAUUAAUGUCGAUGUGUUGAGUGAGAAACACAGAAACGUACCACCAAUAAAGGAUAUUACCAACUUCCAAAGCAGUCAAGAUGGAUCCCCUUCUGACAGUAGCGUCAACACAUCAAUUAAUCUACCACCAGUAAAGGACCUUACCAACGAAAUCGAACAGUUGACAAGUGAGGUGUUAUAUUAUAUUACAGUCGCCAACAGAUAUAUCGGAGCGGCCAAGUUGAUCACAAAACAACGUCUUUAUUGUCAAAGCGAUAUAGUGCACGUCCAGAUAUUUAUGGGUACCUUGGCCGCUCCGAUAUAUUUGAUGGCAACUGUACAAUGUAAAACCUUUUUUCUAUAAAUGUGACUCACAAUCAGUUUUGUUGCCUAUUAAUAUAAAAUAAUGAUUGAUUUCA